UCAGCAAACACAACUUCACCCGAAGCAAAUUCAGAAAAUACAACUUCAGUAAACACGACUUCAGCAAACACAACUUCAGCAAACACAACUUCAGCAAACACAAUCCCAAAUACGUCCACAAAUGACUCAAACACAGCUCCAGUAGCUGCAGUAUACAGCUUGGUCUUUAGCGUCAACGAACCCUUUGUUUCAGCGCUGGCCAAUAAGAACUCUCCAGAGUUUUUAGCUAAAUCUGAAUUCAUCCGUAAGCAGCUUGAAGCAAAUUACAGAGAAAUCUUCACAAACUUUAUCAGGGCAAUCAUUCAUGGUUUCAGCAAUGGUUCAAUUGUGACAAAUUCCAGCCUUGAAUUUAGUGACAACGGCACCAUCCCAACUGAUUCUACAAUAGCAUCCAUCCUCGUUAAUUCAACUACCAACUCAAGCUUAAAUAUUGUUCCAAAUUCUAUAAGUGUCAGCCAGGUUCUUGUGACCAACACACCUACAAACAUCUCUUCAGAAAACACAACUUCACCCGACGCAAAUUCAGAAAAUGCAACUUCAGCAAACACAACUUCAGCAAACACAACUUCACCCAACGCAAAUUCAGAAAAUGCAACUUCAGCAAA